ACAUAUUUGUCACUAGUAUUAACAUAUAAUACCACUAUUACAUAGAUUAAAUUGCUAAAAAAGGUAGAAUCUUUAGCAAAUAAAGCAUAUCUGCAAUAUUAAUAAUAAUUCUUUAAACAGCCAUCUACCCCAAUUAGGAAAGGUACAAUAAUGAUGAACUAGAGUUUGAGGUUUUUUUUGGCUGCACCCAUGGCAUGUAGAAGUUCCAGGGCCAGGGCUCAAACCCAUGACACAGAAGUGACUGGAGCUAUAGUGACCCAAGCCACAGCAGUGACAAUCCCAGAUCCUAACCCACUGUACCACCAGGGAACUCCCGAAGUUUUAAUUUUGAAGAGAAGGAAUUAAGCAGGAAGAGGAAGAGAGGAAUAAUAUUAAUAGGAGAGAGAGACAUGGUGAAAAUAUAACUCUUUGGGGGUUUUUUGUGUUUUUUUGUUUUUUGUUUUUGUUUUUUUUUUUUUUUUUAGAGCCACUCCCUUGGCACAUGGAGGUUCCCAGCGUUGCCGCAAGCUGUGGCAUAGGUCACAGAUGCAGCUCAGAUCCUGCAUUGCUGUGGCUGUGGUGUAGGCUGGCAGCUGCAGCUCUGAUUUUAACCCUAGCCUGGAAUCUUCCACAUGCCGCAGGAAGAAAAAAAAUAUCUAUCAUUGGAGGAUUAUCUAAAAGACAAAAAAACUGUGCGAUACCCAGUUUUGAAAACCAUCAGAUUUCAAGGACUACUACUAAAGAUCUUCUGUGAAUCUGUUGAGCAGCAAAUUAAAUUUGCAUUUUGGGAUUACUGAGAACACUGUUAAAAUACAUGCAAUCGCCUUUUAGAACUGAAAACAUGACCUUCUGAAAAAUCUUUUUAAGGCACUUUGGAUCUUGAAUAUACUGUUUCCUUCUUUACUGUGACUGCCAUGAUGACUAGGGUCAAAUUUGUAAUCCAUCUUUAGAACUCACAAAUUUUUACUGCAGCCAUUUUGUGUAUUAACUUUAUCCAUGACUUCAUUUUAAUUUCCCCUUAUAUUCUCCGUGAUUUCUCCAUUCAAUUGCAAUAACGUUUUCUGGUAUCUCUGUAAACAGCAUCACAUCACUGGGGAGAGGGAUUGAUGCGAAUAAAUAAAAAUGAAGAAAAUCAUCCUCUCAAUCAGGGUGCAGACCUGUUUCAGCAUAUUUAUGACAGGGUUUUUUUUUUAAUUUGAAUUCACCAUUAAUAUUUUAAAAUCCCAGUAUUUCAUAUAAAAAUCCAGAUUUCAGAUGGCUCCGUGGCAAAAUGUAACAAGUUCUUAUCUCCCUGGACCAACAUGCUGGCGAGAUGAGUCCUUAAGCCGCCACUUCGGUCUCCAGUGGUCACAGAAAUCCUCACACAUCCACUUUGCUCAUUCAUAUUACCUGAGAGAUUUGCUAAUGAGUUCCAAAAAAGGAAGGAACGUCAGGAUUCUGCAAUACAAACAGGAGGGCGCGCGUCUUUUUCGUUCUUUGAAAGACGUUGUAGAAAUAACAGACACAAUUCAUUCUGCAAACCUUCACUGGACCUCUCCGCUGCGCUGGGCCCUGGCGAUAGGUGAUUUAAAAAAGAAGCAGAGGUCUGGGUCCUGGUUGGCUGAUGCCGCCAGGAAUUACCGCCACGAGCACAAGGAGCGUUGAACUGAGGUCAGUUCUGAACCGAAGGUGGAACGGUACUUAGCGUAGAAUAUUUAUUAAAGCGUCUCAGCCAGGUUCCCCUGCAUUAGACAGUCGUCCAAGCAGUCCACGGCCCGUUCGCAGAUGGGGCGGGAAGACAAAGUCACGUCUCGGCUCCGCGUUGAUUCACCCGCAACGCGACUCCU
rnacentral:lncRNA from 1 species